UCAUUAAAUGCCUGAAUAAUAAGGAUUGAUCUUUUAAAUCAAACUAUAGUAGCUCUAAUUACUUUUAAUGAA
rnacentral:tRNA from 1 species